UACGUAGGGGGCAAGCGUUGUCCGGAUUUAUUGGGCGUAAAGAGCGUGUAGGCGGCCAGGUAGGUCUGCUGUGAAAACUCGAGGCUUAACCUCGAGCUGUCGGCGGAAACCAUCUGGCUAGAGUCAGGAAGAGGAGAAUGGAAUUCCCGGUGUAGCGGUGAAAUGCGCAGAUAUCGGGAAGAACACCCGUGGCGAAGGCGGUUCUCUGGGACGGUACUGACGCUGAGACGCGAAAGCGUGGGGAGCGAACAGG
rnacentral:rRNA from 1 species